UGGUCCGGGAUGCGGGGCACUGUUGUGGCAACUCGCGAAUAUUGCACUCGUCCCGGCCAGC
rnacentral:pre_miRNA from 1 species